rnacentral:rRNA from 1 species
ACUCCUACGGGAGGCAGCAGUGGGGAAUCUUGCGCAAUGGGCGAAAGCCUGACGCAGCCAUGCCGCGUGGAUGAUGAAGGUCUUAGGAUUGUAAAAUCCUUUCACCGGGGACGAUAAUGACGGUACCCGGAGAAGAAGCCCCGGCUAACUUCGUGCCAGCAGCCGCGGUAAUACGAAGGGGGCUAGCGUUGCUCGGAAUUACUGGGCGUAAAGGGCGCGUAGGCGGACAGUUAAGUUGGGGGUGAAAGCCCGGGGCUCAACCUCGGAAUUGCCCUUCAAUACUGGCUGUCUUGAGUACGGGAGAGGUGAGUGGAACUCCGAGUGUAGAGGUGAAAUUCGUAGAUAUUCGGAAGAACACCAGUGGCGAAGGCGACUCACUGGCCCGUUACUGACGCUGAGGCGCGAAAGCGUGGGGAGCAAACAGGAUUAGAUACCCUGGUAGCGUCGUCU